rnacentral:rRNA from 1 species
UACGAAGGGUGCAAGCGUUACUCGGAAUUACUGGGCGUAAAGCGUGCGUAGGUGGUUUGUUAAGUCUGUUGUGAAAGCCCCGGGCUCAACCUGGGAAUGGCAAUGGAUACUGGCAGGCUAGAGUGCGGUAGAGGAGACUGGAAUUCCUGGUGUAGCAGUGAAAUGCGUAGAUAUCAGGAGGAAUACCGAUGGCGAAGGCAGGUCUCUGGGCUGACACUGACGCUCAUGCACGAAAGCGUGGGGAGCAAACAGG